GUCUAUGGCCAUACCACCCUGAACACGCCCAAUCUCAUCCGAUCUUGGAAGCUAAGCAGGGUCUGGCCUGGUUAGUACUUGGAUGGGAGACCACUAACAUGUUGUAUGAUUUCACCU
rnacentral:rRNA from 1 species